ACUAACGUGUUUGUGCUUUGGAAAUGCGGACACAGAAGAAAAAAGUGCGUGGAAUAGAGAAACCUCUUGAUCUAGAUCUGGACACCAUACAGUCUAAUUAGGACCACCAAAUUCACUUCUCCUAGGGCCUACAAUUAUCUUAGACCGACCAUGACCAUGGUAUCUGAAUAAAACGCGAAAAAAACUGUAAUAAAAUAUACAAACUAAUCUUAA